rnacentral:rRNA from 1 species
GAGUUUGAUCAUGGCUCAGGAUGAACGCUAGCGGCAGGCCUAGUACAUGCAAGUCGAACGGGCCUGGGGGCAACUCCAGGUCAGUGGCGAACGGGUGAGUAAUGCAUCGGAACGUGUCCAGAAGUGGGGGAUAACCCGGCGAAAGCCGGGCUAAUACCGCAUAUUCUCCACGGAGGAAAGCGGGGGAUCGCAAGACCUCGUGCUUUUGGAGCGGCCGAUGUCCGUAUUAGUUUGUUGGUGGGGUAACGGCCUACCAAGGCGACGAUCGGUAGCUGGUCUGAGAGGAUGAUCA